rnacentral:rRNA from 1 species
GGCUUAGAGUUUGAUCAUGGCUCAGGAUGAACGCUAGCGGCAGGCCUAACACAUGCAAGUCGAGGGGCAGCACGUUAAAGAGUUUACUCUUUAUGGUGGCGACCGGCGGACGGGUGCGUAACGCGUAUGCAACCUGCCUGACACAGGGGGAUAAUCCGAAGAAAUUUGGUCUAAUACCCCAUAAUACCGAUAUAGGCAUCUAUGUUGGUUGAAAGCUUUGGUGGUGUCAGAUGGGCAUGCGUUGUAUUAGCUAGUUGGUGAGGUAACGGCUCACCAAGGCGACGAUACAUAGGGGGACUGAGAGGUUAACCCCCCACACUGGUACUGAGACACGGACUAGACUCCUACGGGAGGCAGCAGUGAGGAAUAUUGGUCAAUGGGCGGAAGCCUGAACCAGCCAUGCCGCGUGCAGGAAGACGGCUCUAUGAGUUGUAAACUGCUUUUGUACUAGGGUAAUUUGCGGUACGUGUACCGUAUUGAAAGUAUAGUACGAAUAAGGAUCGGCUAACUCCGUGCCAGCAGCCGCGGUAAUACGGAGGAUCCAAGCGUUAUCCGGAUUUAUUGGGUUUAAAGGGUGCGUAGGCGGCAGAUUAAGUUAGAGGUGAAAUUCCGAGGCUCAACCUUGGCACUGCCUCUGAUACUGGUUUGCUAGCGAGUAGAUGCUGUAGGCGGAGUGUGUGGUGUAGCGGUGAAAUGCAUAGAGAUCACACAGAACACCGAUUGCGAAGGCAGCUUACAAAUCUAUAUCGGACGCUGAGGCACGAAAGCGUGGGGAGCGAACAGGAUUAGAUACCCUGGUAGUCCACGCAGUAAACGAUGAUAACUCGUUGUCGGCGAUAUACAGUCGGUGACCAAGCGAAAGCGAUAAGUUAUCC